rnacentral:misc_RNA from 1 species
CCUAAAGCUUUCCUCCUCCUUCAAGCGUUACUCUCACUCAUUGCCUCAUAGAUAUAGAUGGGUAUAAUUUUUUUGUGGCCAUGGCAAGAUCAUUUCUUGCAAGACCCAUUUCCAAAAUCCCAAUUUGGCUGCUAUUUAGCACUUUCCCACUAUCGUGCCUCUUCCCCAGAUGCAUACAAAAGCAUUUCAGCUUGUUUUUGCCUUGAUAAUCUCAUAUUGGUUAUGAAAUCAAGUCAUUGGUAAUUGUUAUUCAAUUCUCACCAGCAGAGUCACUACUUUCACUAUCCUUCCUCCUCACAACUGUAACAAAGAAGCUCAAGCUUCUCCCCUCCUUUUACGAAGUUGCAUUCUGCAGUUGCGCCUAUCACAAGAUCCACAUCAAAUAUCAUUACUGGCUUUCUUUACUGAUUGGACCUUCGAAGAUUCGAUCGGGUUUUUUUGCAUCCUCUAAGAUUGAUUAUAUCUCAUUUUGGGCUAAUUUUGAAGACUGGAUUCAUGCAG